UCACAGGUCAGCAUACUGUGGUGAAUACGUUCCCGGGCCUUGUACACACCGCCCGUCACACCAUGAGAGUUGAGAAUACCCGAAGCCCAUGUCAAAGUGGUCGAAGGUAGGCUUGAUGAUUGGGGUGAAGUCGUAACAAGGUAGC
rnacentral:rRNA from 1 species